AUGUACAAACUAAAACUACGACGCGCAAUCAGGAAGACCGGAGAUCCGCGCGACCAUUAUUUGCAUAUAUAUAUAUAUAUAUAUAUAUACGCGUCGAGUCGAUCGGUCGAUCCUCCCGAUCCACAGCUCGACCGAUCAAUGGUCGAGAUCGUACGGCAGGAGGUCCUCGAGAUACGGGUAACCAUCGAGAUCAAAGAGCUGUUCAAAGGCACCGGCACCACCGUACUGCAGGGUGGACGUGACGUCGCCCUGGUCAGGCCAAGCCGCCGCCGCCGCCGCUGCGCCGUACAGGGCAGAGCUCACGGGGGUGCGGCUGCUCAGCACCUCCUCCAGGUCGCCGCCCUCAAGCUUCAGGCCCGACAGCUGCAGGCCGGACCCCGUCGCGGCGUCCUCGUCGACCAGGUUGGUGUUCGUUGUGGUCGUGCUGGUGCUGGCGCCAUGAACAACGGCCGGCGCGAAGCUGAUGAGGCGGCAGCCGGCCGCGGUGCCGGUCAGGUGAGGAGCAUGCGGCGCCAUGGCGGCGGCGGGGUCCCGGCAGGUGUGCACGCCGAUGUAGGUGACCUUGAACGUGUCCGGGUCGUCGUCGCAGCGCUGGGCCUGCCGCCGCGCCAUGCACUGCUGGUCGUACUUGUGCGUGCACCGGAAGUAGGCCUUGCGCGGUCCUCCACCGGCGAUGGACUUCCUCUUCCCGCCGCUGCUUGCGCCAUCGGUGACCUCGCUCUCGCCGGCACCGGCGCUGGCCGCGGCCGCGGCCUUGGCGGCGUGGAUGGCGCGGGAGAAGGUGUGGAGGAUCUGGUCCAUGAUGUGGCCGGCCUUGGGGGAGUCCCGGAGGAGGCCCUGCAGCUGCGUCGCGAACUCCUGCCCCUUGGCCAGGUCAUCCAUCACCUGCUCGUACGUCGCCAUGGACAUCGAUCGAAGCACGAGCACGUGAGCUCGAACACUCUCCUGCUCUACCUAGCUCGCGCGCACAGCACUACCAGAGCAGCCAGCCAGUGA
rnacentral:rRNA from 1 species